AACGCUUCUUUUUCCACCGGAGCUUGCUCCACCGGAAAAAGAGGAGUGGCGAACGGGUGAGUAACACGUGGGUAACCUGCCCAUCAGAAGGGGAUAACACUUGGAAACAGGUGCUAAUACCGUAUAACAAUCGAAACCGCAUGGUUUUGAUUUGAAAGGCGCUUUCGGGUGUCGCUGAUGGAUGGACCCGCGGUGCAUUAGCUAGUUGGUGAGGUAACGGCUCACCAAGGCCACGAUGCAUAGCCGACCUGAGAGGGUGAUCGGCCACAUUGGGACUGAGACACGGCCCAAACUCCUACGGGAGGCAGCAGUAGGGAAUCUUCGGCAAUGGACGAAAGUCUGACCGAGCAACGCCGCGUGAGUGAAGAAGGUUUUCGGAUCGUAAAACUCUGUUGUUAGAGAAGAACAAGGAUGAGAGUAACUGUUCAUCCCUUGACGGUAUCUAACCAGAAAGCCACGGCUAACUACGUGCCAGCAGCCGCGGUAAUACGUAGGUGGCAAGCGUUGUCCGGAUUUAUUGGGCGUAAAGCGAGCGCAGGCGGUUUCUUAAGUCUGAUGUGAAAGCCCCCGGCUCAACCGGGGAGGGUCAUUGGAAACUGGGAGACUUGAGUGCAGAAGAGGAGAGUGGAAUUCCAUGUGUAGCGGUGAAAUGCGUAGAUAUAUGGAGGAACACCAGUGGCGAAGGCGGCUCUCUGGUCUGUAACUGACGCUGAGGCUCGAAAGCGUGGGGAGCAAACAGGAUUAGAUACCCUGGUAGUCCACGCCGUAAACGAUGAGUGCUAAGUGUUGGAGGGUUUCCGCCCUUCAGUGCUGCAGCUAACGCAAUAAGCACUCCGCCUGGGGAGUACGACC
rnacentral:rRNA from 1 species